rnacentral:rRNA from 1 species
CCAGACUCCUACGGGAGGCAGCAGUGGGGGAUAUUGCACAAUGGGGGGAACCCUGAUGCAGCGACGCCGCGUGGGUGAAGAAGCGCUUCGGCGCGUAAAGCCCUGUCAGCAGGGAAGAAAAUGACGGUACCUGAAGAAGAAGCCCCGGCUAACUACGUGCCAGCAGCCGCGGUAAUACGUAGGGGGCAAGCGUUAUCCGGAUUUACUGGGUGUAAAGGGGGCGCAGACGGCGAUGCAAGCCAGGAGUGAAAGCCCGGGGCCCAACCCCGGGACUGCUCUUGGAACUUCGUGGCUGGAGUGCAGGAGGGGCAGGCGGAAUUCCUGGUGUAGCGGUGAAAUGCGUAGAUAUUAGGAGGAACACCAGUGGCGAAGGCGGCCUGCUGGACGAUGACUGACGUUGAGGCUCGAAAGCGUGGGGAGCAAACAGGAUUAGAUACCCGUGUA